rnacentral:rRNA from 1 species
AACGAGCGCUGGCGGCAUGCCUAACACAUGCAAGUCGAACGAGAUCUUCGGGUCUAGUGGCGCACGGGUGCGUAACGCGUGGGAAUCUGCCCUUUGGUUCGGAAUAACAGUUGGAAACGACUGCUAAUACCGGAUGAUGACGAAAGUCCAAAGAUUUAUCGCCAGAGGAUGAGCCCGCGUAGGAUUAGCUAGUUGGUGUGGUAAAGGCGCACCAAGGCGACGAUCCUUAGCUGGUCUGAGAGGAUGAUCAGCCACACUGGGACUGAGACACGGCCCAGACUCCUACGGGAGGCAGCAGUGGGGAAUAUUGGACAAUGAGCGAAAGCCUGUUCCAGCAAUGCCGCGUGAGUGAUGAAGGCCUUAGGGUUGUAAAGCUCUUUUACCCGGGAUGAUAAUGACGGUACCGGGAGAAUAAGCUCCGGCUAACUCCGUGCCAGCCGCCGCCGUAA